CAGAUAGAGGUUGCGAAUGACAUGAGUACGCUUGAUUGACACGGACGCAUUCCGGAUCGAGCCGAAAGGGGAAUUUCGCCGAAGUCGACGUUCGCAUGCGUACGAACGAAGGCUGGGGUAGUCGUGAAUAACGCCUACACUGCCAUGGAUGAAAUGCCAUGGAGCGCUAUCU
rnacentral:ncRNA from 1 species